GAUGAACGCUAGCGGCAGGCCUAAUACAUGCAAGUCGGACGGGAUUCAGGAGCUUGCUUCUGAUGAGAGUGGCGCACGGGUGCGUAACACGUAUGUAACCUACCUUUAUCAGGGGGAUAGCCUCUCGAAAGAGAGAUUAAGCCCGCAUAAAAUCACAGCACAGCAUUGUGUAAUGAUCAAAUAUUUAUAGGAUAAAGAUGGGCAUGCGGAACAUUAGCUAGAUGGCGGGGUAACGGCCCACCAUGGCGACGAUGUUUAGGGGAUCUGAGAGGAUGGCCCCCCACACUGGUACUGAGACACGGACCAGAAUCCUACGGGAGGCAGCAGUAAGGAAUAUUGGUCAAUGGGCGGAAGCCUGAACCAGCCAUGCCGCGUGCAGGAAGGCGGCCCUACGGGUUGUAAACUGCUUUUAUACGGGAAUAAACCCAGAUACGUGUAUCUGGCUGAAUGUACUGUAAGAAUAAGGAUCGGCUAACUCCGUG
rnacentral:rRNA from 1 species